rnacentral:rRNA from 1 species
GACGAACGCUGGCGGCGUGCCUAAUACAUGCAAGUAGAACGCUGAAGGAGGAGCUUGCUUCUCCGGAUGAGUUGCGAACGGGUGAGUAACGCGUAGGUAACCUGCCUGGUAGCGGGGGAUAACUAUUGGAAACGAUAGCUAAUACCGCAUAAGAGUAGAUGUCGCAUGACAUUUGCUUAAAAGGUGCAACUGCACCACUACCAGAUGGACCUGCGUUGUAUUAGCUAGUUGGUGAGGUAACGGCUCACCAAGGCAACGAUACAUAGCCGACCUGAGAGGGUGAUCGGCCACACUGGGACUGAGACACGGCCCAGACUCCUACGGGAGGCAGCAGUAGGGAAUCUUCGGCAAGGGACGGAAGUCUGACCGAGCAACGCCGCGUGAGUGAAGAAGGUUUUCGGAUCGCAAAGCUCUGUUGUAAGAGAAGAACGAGUGUGAGAGUGGAAAGUUCACACUGUGACGGUAUCUUACCAGAAAGGGACGGCUAACUACGUG